rnacentral:rRNA from 1 species
CAAUAGCGUAUAUUAAAGUUGUUGCAGUUAAAAAGCUCGUAGUUGGAUUUCGGGAUGGCCCGGCCGGUCUGCCGCAAGGUAUGUUACUGGCCGAGCUGUUCUUCUUCGCAAAGACUGUGUGUGCUCUUAACUGAGUGUGCUCAGGAUCUGUGACGUUUACUUUGAAAAAAUUAGAGUGUUCAAAGCAAGCCAGCGCUUGAAUGCAUAAGCAUGGAAUAAUGGAAUAGGACUUUGGUUCUAUUUUGUUGGUUUCUGGAACCUUAGUAAUGAUUAAGAGAGACAGUUGGGGGCAUUCGUAUUUCGUUGUCAGAGGUGAAAUUCUUGGAUUUACGAAAGACGAACUACUGCGAAAGCAUUUGCCAAGAAUGUUUUCAUUAA